CUUGAGAUUUUGAUGGUAAGGAUAGGUUCGGACAAGGCUCUAAUUCACUGAAUAUCCUUUCUCUCUUGAAUUUUGGCUAAAAUUCUUGUUGGCUUUUAGCAGGAUUUUGCAGGUGAGGAUUAGAUUGGUAUCAUAGCAUCACAUGUUUUGCCUUAUUUGCAAUGCAUUUAUAAAUUUGAAAAUCUCCAUGCUGGACAGACACCC
rnacentral:lncRNA from 1 species